GUGUAAGCGAAGCGAUAAGUGGAGCGGUGAAAGGCUCAGUAACGGGCGAUUUAUUUGAUCUCCUGGGACGGACAACAUCGGGAAACUGAUGGGAAAACGUCUAAGUUGCAGUUUUCUGAUUGUGACGUAAACCUUAGUGUGCAGGAGAGUAAGAUGCCAUCCUAUCAGUUAGUAAGUAGGGUAAGGGCCUACUUAGACGAAGACGGGUACGGGGAAUGAGGGUUUGAUUCCGGAGAGGGAGCCUGAGAGAUGGCUACCAGGACCAAGGUCAGCAGCAGGCGCGAAAAUUAUCGAAGCCCGCCUAGGGGCGAUAGUGAGGAGACGUGUAUACGAAGUACGUGUAAAGACCGUACUAAUAACUGGAGGUCAAGUCUGGUGCCAGCAGCCGCG
rnacentral:rRNA from 1 species